UAUUUUACCCUUUACAGAAAACUCUUUGGGAGUGGAAUUGAUGAUGGUGGUUUUUUGGCGCCACCUUGUGGCAAAGCCUGAACUCCUGCUUGAACACUAAGGAACAGGAAAAUAUGAGGGAUGGUCUGUGACACAAACCAACGAGGCAGAUUUUCUGGAGGUCAAAAUGGAAAACUGUUUUUGAAAGUGGAGUUUGAUGAUGGUGGUUCUUUGGCACCAAAUUGUGACGAAAGCCUGAACUGCUGCUUGAACCCUAAGGAAGAAGAAAAUGGGAGGGAUGGUCUGUGACACAAACCCACCACACUGAACUUGCUGGACAAAAUGGAAACAGAGGAAUUCCUUGUCUUGCAAAAUUCUUGGAAGUGAAGUAUGAUUAUGGUGGUUCCUUGGCACCACCUUGUGGCUACAGUCUGAACUGCAACUUGAAUCCUGAGUAACAGCAAAAUGAGAGGGAUGGUCUGUGACACAAACCCACCAGACAGAACUUUCUCAUGUUAAAAUGCAAAGUGGGGAAUUCCUUGACUAAACCAUAUUCGUGUGCUCUCUCUGGACACUACAUAAAGAGUUGAAAAUGGAGUUUGAUGAUGGUGGUUCUUUGGCGCCACCUUUUGCCAAAAGUCUGAACUGCUACUUGAACCCUAAGGAAGAGGAAAAUGGGAGGGAUGCUCUGUGACACAAACCACCCGCAUAAAUCUUUCUGGAGUUCAAAAUGGAAAGUGGGGAAUUCUGUGACUAAACUGUAUUGACAAUUCUUGAGAGUGGAGUUUGAUGAUGAUGGUUCUUUGUCGCCACUUUGAGGAAAGCCUGAACUGCUGCUUGAACACCAGGGAACAGGAAAACGGGAGGGAUGGCCUGUGACACAAACCCACCAGACAGAUCUUUCUCAAGUUAAAAUGGAAAGUGGGGAAUUCCUUGACUAAAGUAUAUUGGAGGGCUCAUU